rnacentral:rRNA from 1 species
GACGAACCGAGCGAACGUUGUUCGGAAUUACUGGGCUUAAAGGGCGCGUAGGCGGGCGGCCGCGUCCGGGGUGAAAUCCCGCAGCUCAACUGCGGGACGGCCUCGGGUACGGGUCGUCUGGAGGGGGGUAGGGGCCCGCGGAACUGUGCGUGGAGCGGUGAAAUGCGUUGAUAUGCACAGGAACUCCGGUGGCGAAGGCGGCGGGCUGGACCCUUACUGACGCUGAGGCGCGAAAGCCAGGGGAGCGAACGGG